rnacentral:rRNA from 1 species
UGGGGAAUAUUGCACAAUGGGCGCAAGCCUGAUGCAGCCAUGCCGCGUGUAUGAAGAAGGCCUUCGGGUUGUAAAGUACUUUCAGUCGGGAGGAAGGUGGUAAGGUUAAUAACCUUAUCAAUUGACGUUACCGACAGAAGAAGCACCGGCUAACUCCGUGCCAGCAGCCGCGGUAAUACGGAGGGUGCAAGCGUUAAUCGGAAUUACUGGGCGUAAAGCGCACGCAGGCGGUUGAUUGAGUCAGAUGUGAAAUCCCCGGGCUUAACCCGGGAAUUGCAUCUGAUACUGGUCAGCUAGAGUCUUGUAGAGGGGGGUAGAAUUCCAUGUGUAGCGGUGAAAUGCGUAGAGAUGUGUAGGAAUACCGGUGGCGAAGGCGGCCCCCUGGACAAAGACUGACGCUCAGGUGCGAAAGCGUGGGGAGCAAACAGG